UUAUAUGUUUUAGGGAGUGCAAAUGUUGAAAAUGAUUACCAUUUGGAAUCCAAGAUGGCGGCCAUGCACUAUGUCAUAAAUGUCGUCAUGGAUGUCGUUUUAUAGGUUUAAGGGAAUGCAGAUUUCAAAAAUGAUGACCAUUUUGGAAUCCAAGAUGGCGGCCAUGCACUAUGUCAUAAAAGUCUUCAUAGAUGUCGUUUUAUAGGUUUAAGGGAAUGCAGAUUUCGAAACUGAUGACUAUUUUGGAAACCAAGAUGGCGGCCAUACUCUUUUUCAU